rnacentral:misc_RNA from 1 species
AUCGAGCGAAUCCAAAACGAACGAAAAAGUCUCCCAACGUGCAUACCUUCCAUUUGCAUGUUGUUGUGAGCCACAUGGAAACUCGUACACACGUGGUGGCAGCCGUCUGCUGUGCUUUUUUUAGGCAGACAAUGGCUUACGAGUGGCCGUGUGCUUGUUGAACAACGGUGACCAAUUUGGCGUCUACGCCGUAUCUAGCUUCUGCCUGGACCGUCAGUUGCGAUGAAAGAUGCGGAGAAAGUUCCUUUGUUUUGGCUGCUAAUCAUCAUUGAUGAGCAGYAGCUUAAGGCAGAGUUGAGCAGACUUAAUGAGCCACGCUAGGUGGCCGCCAAAACCCAAAACACAACCGGUCUAUUUGACAUUGUUAUUUCAUUGUAUGUGUUGAAAAUGUA